rnacentral:rRNA from 1 species
AGCAGCCUCGGUAAUUCCAGCUCCAAUAGCGUAUAUUAAAGUUGUUGCAGUUAAAAAGCUCGUAGUUGAAUUUCGGGGUUCUACCAUUGGUCGGGCAAUAGUCUGUACUGGUGUGUAGAAUUUCUACCUUCUGGGGAACUAUCAUGUUAUUUAUUUAGCGUGGUAGGAAACCAGGACCUUUACCUUGAAAAAAUUAGAGUGUUCAAAGCAGGCUUAUGUCUGAAUACAUUAGCAUGGAAUAAUAAAAUAGGACGGUGGUCCUGUUUUGUUGGUUUCUGAAUCACCGUAAUGAUUAAUAGGGAUAGUUGGGGGCAUUAGUAUUCAAUUGUCAGAGGUGAAAUUCUUGGAUUUAU